GCAGGAUUGAGGAGAUCAUAAUUGAAGAGUUGUGUGUUUUGGACUCCAGUGAGAGCAACAAGAAAAAUACUAUUCCACUCCUGCUGCCUAACUUCAGGGUCGCCUACUUGAAGUCACCAAUAUCUUGACCAUGAAGCACAGUGUGGCAGGUUGUAACCCUCUAUCUAAGUGCAAAUGAAACUCCUUCCAAGUAGUGGGAAAAGCUGAUAACUAUUGCUAAGCAGAGUCAAGCAACAUCAUCUGGAGAUUUGGAAACUCUGACUGGGAUAACUGAAGCAGGUUAUAAAUGGAAGAGCAGCAGGCUUGAGCUUCUUGGUCAAGUUUGUGCGUGGGCAUUUCAGUUUGAAAAUAUUCUCAAUGAGAAAAAGAAUGUGUCCUGUUAAUGUGACAGGCUAUAGAGAGAGGGGAGAGAAUUCACUCUCAUAGAUUUCGAAGUUUCAGAACAACAUAUUCAAAGCUUACAGUAAUAUUGGAACAGGGGGACUAUAGCCUAAGAGCAAAACCAAGUU
rnacentral:lncRNA from 1 species